rnacentral:rRNA from 1 species
GACGAACGCUGGCGGCGUGGAUAAGACAUGCAAGUCGAACGGGACUUAAUCUGUAGCAAUACAGGUUAAGUUUAGUGGCGAACGGGUGCGUAACACGUGGGCAAUCUGCCGAGAAGUGGGGGAUAGCUCGCCGAAAGGCGAAUUAAUACCGCAUAUGAUCAGGGACGACAUCUUCCCAACAUCAAAGCCGGGGCAACCUGGCGCUUCUUGAGGAGCCCGCGGCCUAUCAGCUAGUUGGUGAGGUAACGGCUCACCAAGGCUAUGACGGGUAGCUGGUCUGAGAGGACGACCAGUCACACUGGAACUGAGACACGGUCCAGACUCCUACGGGAGGCAGCAGUGGGGAAUAUUGCGCAAUGGGCGAAAGCCUGACGCAGCAACGCCGCGUGGGUGAUGAAGGCCUU